GAUGAACGCUGGCGGCGUGCCUAAUACAUGCAAGUCGAGCGAACAGACGAGGAGCUUGCUCCUCUGACGUUAGCGGCGGACGUGUGAGUAACACGUGGAUAACCUACCUAUAAGACUGGGAUAACUUCGUGAAACCGGAGCUAAUACCGUAUAAUAUAUUGAACCGCAUGGUUCAAUAGUGACUUACGUUUUUUCUGUCACUUAUAGAUUGUUCCGCGCCGCAUUAUCUAGUUGGUAAGGUAACGGCUUACCAAGGCGACGAUGCGUAGCCGACCUGAGAGGGUGAUCGGCCACACGGGAAGUGAGACACGGUCCAGACUCCUACGGGAGGCAGCAGUAGGGAAUGUUACGCAAUGGGCGAAAGCCUGACGGAGCAACGCCGCGUGAGUGAUGAAGGUCUUAGGAUCGUAAAACUCUGCUAUUAGGGAAGAACAAAUGUGUAAGUAACUAUGCACGUCAUGACGGUACCUAAUCAGAAAGCAACGGCUAACUACGUG
rnacentral:rRNA from 1 species